rnacentral:sRNA from 1 species
GAAUACGCUAGUGGUGAAAUAACGUUA